ACUCAGCAGCAGAGGAGAUGAAACGUUUGUUACAAAAUGGUCCGAGUAACAGUUCUAUGUGGAUAGAGUUGGCAGACAUGAAGAUGAAACAACACAAAAGUGUUGACCAAGGUCUUCACAUCUUGUCCAAAGCUCUCGAGAGCAAUCGCUCAUCAGAACCCAUGCAUCUGGCUGCAUUACCUUCACAUCUACAGUCAGAGAGAUCAGACGUCAGAGCUCUCACGCGCAUCUCACAGAAAGCAACCAAGUUUUGCCUAGCGUUUCUUGUUUACUGGUGCUGCCUGCAGAACACAGAAACAUAUGAAGGAAAAAUGUCAGUCAUCAGGGACGUCUAUGACUUCCGAAAGGGUUGGAUGGUGAUGAUGCCACACUUUCACAUUGGAUCCUGGAGACAGUAAUGUAUGAAGCUCAAGUGAAUGUAUUAACUGGGAGAGUGGACAAUGAGAUGAAGACGCUUGUGGAUUGCUUGAAAGAGUUUGAUCGGUCGAUGAUGGUUAUUGCUGAUUUUUGUGUUGGGUGGCUUGCAUACGUACACGUUGCAGCUUUUACUGUGUUGCCAUCCAUUAUGUUUGAUUCCAUCUCUGAUAACCCAUCCAAGAUUGCAGACAAGGAGAUGUUUGUGAUUCCUUGUAGUCGGUAGAAAACGUGGAGGUCGUGCUAUGCAUCACUUGUCAAGGAUUUAUGUUAUGCUAUUGAGGUUUGCAAGAAUGGAAAUAUGGUAGGCGGCGAUUGGAAGGGCUGUGUUGGUCUUUCUAUGAAUCUUAUUGGACUGCACAUUGCUGCUGACAAGUAGAGACGUGAUUGGAAUUGAAUGAUGCAGCAGUUGAGGUUGCUCAGCAGCUUCUCAAUUCAUCACCAAACAUUACAGAUUCCUGGCUAUGUGUUGCUAACAUGUGGUGUGACAUGAAUUCUUUUACUAAUUAAAGCAAUGGAGACGUACAACAGUGCAAUCGUUUCUUGUCCAUUUUCUUCUGUCCUCUAUCAUACUUUGGUGCAAUUGCAACUACAGCAGCUAGAAGAGAAGGAGAAAGCAGUUGAGUUGCUUACUACAUGUAUUUGCAGUUGCUUUGUGGACGUGCCAUCACAAUCACUGUCACCACAGUUGCUUUCCAGAUUUGCUCUCCACCUUCCUGUACCUUACAAUAUUAAUUGGCCACAAAUUAAAAUCACGUUAACUGAAGAAGAAGCCGCUUGCCUUGCUUUAAACUAUUGGUAUGUACGUGUGAAGCUCAUCUACCACUCAUGCCUUCAUUGAACUUCCAUACUUUUAUCUAAUAUCUAAUACAGCUCAUUAGUUAAACUGAACAAUGACAAUGUGAGUGAAACAUUCAACUCUGUUAUUGCCUGGUUGACUAGCAGAUCAGCUCUGAAGACAAUCUGGAAAGAGUUAAA